rnacentral:rRNA from 1 species
UACGAAGGGGGGCUAGCGUUGCUCGGAAUCACUGGGCGUAAAGGGCGCGUAGGCGGACUUUUUAAGUCAGGGGGUGAAAUCCUGAGGCUCAACCUCAGAACUGCCUUUGAUACUGAGGGUCUCGAGACCGGUAGAGGUAAGUGGAACUGCGAGUGUAGAGGUGAAAUUCGUAGAUAUUCGCAAGAACACCAGUGGCGAAGGCGGCUCACUGGCUCAUUACUGACGCUCAGGCGCGACAGCGUGGGGAUCAAACAGG